AACAAGGAUAAUGUUGCCAUUAU
rnacentral:siRNA from 1 species